CCUAGAGUUGUAGGCUUUGCCUGCUAUCUCUUACCCAUGUCUUUUGAGUACCUUCGUUUCCUCGGCGGGUCCGCCCGCCGAUUGGACAAUUUAAACCAUUUGCAGUUGCAAUCAGCGUUUGAAAAAACUUAAUAGUUA
rnacentral:misc_RNA from 1 species